rnacentral:rRNA from 1 species
AGGUAUGUCAUAGAUAUGCUAAAGGCACCAGAUCCUGUCUGAUCUUGGAAGCUAAUCAGGAUUAUAUUUGGUUAGUACUUGGAUGGGAGACCACUAACGAUACCAGGUGAUAUAGGCU